CCAAAAAUUCUUAUUCCAAAAUUGGAGAAUCCAAAAUAUGAAUUUCAUCCUUGAAACUCUUCUUUAUUCUUAAUGAUUUAACAUGGGGUUAAUUCUAAUACCACUUGUUGAAAUUUUAUAAAACUUUAAAUUUUAAUAACAUGAAAACCUAAUUACUUUAUUUGUCAAGAUCUUUCAUGCCAAAUCACCAAGAAAAUUAAUAAUGCAGAACAUACCUUAAUUCUUUGAGAAUGACCAUUUAUUACUAGAUCUUGAUUCCAGAUUUUAAAUCUUGAAAAUCAAUUUGAAUUCUUUCUCGAUUGGUUUCUUGCUUUCAAUUUUAAAUUUUGUCUCCUUGGAUUUUUUUAUUCUUGUUCUUGGUUUUCUUAUUGAUCUAUAAUCUUGAUUCUUGAAUUUCUUCAUCUUGAUUUUUGAUUGUAGAUUAUCUAUUCUUGAUUAUGGGUUUUGAAUCUUCCUCUUCAAUAUAUCUUCUCUCUAAAUUCUUGUAUCGAUGGGAUGAUACAAAAAAUGAGAAAUUGUAUCUGAAUUGAGGGACCAUAAUCCCAUAUCUAGUUUCCAUAUGUAUUUUUGGCCCAUCAUGGAGUACAAUUUUAAGGGAAUUCGAUCUCUGCACAUAUAAUUCGGGUCACACUUUAUUUAGAGGCACUAAGUCGAAUAUUAAAUUCUUUAUUAGAUCACUUUAAUUUUAAGCUUAAUUUUAAAAUAGUCUUUAUACACAAUUAAUUACAUGUAUUAGCUCACAUGGUAAAUUAAUAAUUUCCCAUCACAUUUAACAUUUUUGUUUUUCUAAUUGUCAUAAACCUCGAGGAACGACUUCUUAAAUAGUUUUAUAUUUCAAACAUGGUUAUAUGAAGGCAUGGGCUUGCCCUGCCAAGGAAACAGGGACAAGCACGGGAAAAGUUGUUCUUGACACGACUUUUUCGCUUUAUUUCUAUUUUUUAAAUUUAAAUAGUAAAUAAAUAAAUAAAUAGGAUAAAGCUACACGUAUAGAAAGUGGUUCACAAAAAUUCAAAAGAGGGUGAUGUGUUGUGAAAAGGAAAAGGAAAGGACAGUUCACUUCAGUUCACUUCGAGAAAAAUAUGAAUAAAUUCAUCAUAUUUCUUAUUUGUAUGUCUUAAUUUUUGUGGUCACUGUGUAUGUUCUCAAUUAUCAUAGCACAGGUAUGCUCCUUUGAUCAUGUUGGGGACCUACUAUGCCAAAAAAUAAAUAAAUAAAAAGGAGUUAUGAACGUGUCAAAAAAGUCUUACCUGCUUGGAUUGUGGUUCCGCAAGCACUUUGUUGAACUCGAAAACAUCCUCACAAUUGCCUUGCAUCUUGAUCAUACUGAAGGCGUCAAUUUUGAUGAGAUAUGAUCGCACACCUUUAACUACUAUGGUUAUUACAACCCAAUUUCAUAAGACCUUCAUUCUUUGAAGGAUCAUCAACGUAUUCUGGUUUAAAAAAUUAAGAACCCCAUUUUCUCUGAGCAUGUAAUCGUUCCAAGGGAGACUUGCUUCUUCAAGCAUUUUGAGUACGUUUUGUCGUUGGGUAAACUCAUAUUUGACACUAAUUUGGACAAAUUUCGUCCAGAAAGAUCUGAGCCUGUCAAGAUUUGAAGCUCUAAUGCAUAUUCAGGGCAUUUUGUGUUUGUUUUUGAGCUUCCAGGAAGAAAUAAAAGAAAAAAAGGUCUCAAAAGACCC
rnacentral:lncRNA from 1 species